GAUGAACGCUAGCGGGAGGCUUAACACAUGCAAGUCGAGGGGCAGCAUAGGGUAGCAAUACUCUGAUGGCGACCGGCAAACGGGUGAGUAACGCGUAUGCAACCUACCCUGUACAGGGGGAUAACCCGGAGAAAUUCGGACUAAUAUCCCGUAAUAAUAUCCGGAGGCAUCUUUGGAUAUUUAAAGUUUCGACGGUACGGGGUGGGCAUGCGUAACAUUAGCUGGUUGGUAAGGUAACGGCUUACCAAGGCUAUGAUGUUUAGGGGUCCUGAGAGGGUGGUCCCCCACACUGGUACUGAGACACGGACCAGACUCCUACGGGAGGCAGCAGUGAGGAAUAUUGGUCAAUGGGCGCAAGCCUGAACCAGCCAUCCCGCGUGCAGGAAGACGGCUCUAUGGGUUGUAAACUGCUUUUCCAGGGAGAGAAACUUACGCACGUGUUGCGUGACUGACGGUACCCUGGGAAUAAGCAUCGGCUAACUCCGUG
rnacentral:rRNA from 1 species